rnacentral:lncRNA from 1 species
GGUUGGGUGCUUAGAAAAUUGGGGUAAUAGGAAGUGUUUGAUUUAGUAAAUUUUUUAGUAGCACUGUUUCUUUUUCUUUUUUCCCUUUUUUUCCUACAAAUUCCUAAUUGACAAUAGAGAUAUGAUGUAACCGAAUAUUUGUUUAGUAUUUUAUAAUUUGAACAACUUUUUUAAAAAAAAUUAAUUCGUGGUUCGUCCUUGUGGGAAUCUGAUUCAUGCUUUUUAUCCUCGAG